AUGCCGACCAAUGAUAUUUGGAGCUUCCCCAAUGAAAUAUCCAUGUCAUAUAAUCAUAGAUUAUUCCACGCUUCAAUAAAUGGAGCUUAACAUCCUUCUUAUUCAAAUAUUUAUGAUUUCUCCAUUUGAUGCAAGGACAUAGAAUCUUAUCACCCUCAGUAGAGCAUUCAAAGGCAUAGUUCAAAAACUCUUCAAUUCUUACUUUAUAUUCAUUAAAUAGCCUAUUACGUAUUUGCAUCCAACUCUUAUUAGAUACCAUUACCUAUGUAAAAUAUCAAGCAUUGAUAAAUAUUAGAAAUAAAAUUCUAAGUAUUGAUAAAUAUGAGCAAUUACCAUGCAUGAAUUUAAAUAUAAGUAAAAUUCUAGUAAUUCAAUAAUUUUUACGUAGCACGCAUACUUACUGCUACUAUGUCAAAAAAUUUUCAUAACCAAUACAAAGAGCCAAACUUUGAAUCAAUAUAUAACAGCAAGUAGAAAACACAAAAAACUAUAAUAGAUACUAAUGUUCUUUAAAUACUUCGAUAGGCACUAAUUCGUUAUGUGAAUUUUAGACUUGGGCCAGAUAUUGCUAAGAUACUAAUAGAAUGGCAC
rnacentral:lncRNA from 1 species